GCCAGAAUAGCGGAGUGGUUUGAGUAUUGGACUAUGACUCUGGAGACAGAGUUCAAAUCCCUGCUCAGCCA